UCGGGAAUAUUGCGCAAUGGAGGAAACUCUGACGCAGUGACGCCGCGUGCAGGAAGAAGGUUUUCGGAUUGUAAACUGCUUUAGACAGGGAAGAAAAAAGACAGUACCUGUAGAAUAAGCUCCGGCUAACUACGUGCCAGCAGCCGCGGUAAUACGUAGGGAGCAAGCGUUAUCCGGAUUUAUUGGGUGUAAAGGGUGCGUAGACGGAGAAGCAAGUUAGUUGUGAAAUCCCUCGGCUUAACCGAGGAACUGCAACUAAAAACUACUUCCCUUGAGUGCUGGAGAGGAAAGUGGAAUUCCUAGUGUAGCGGUGAAAUGCGUAGAUAUUAGGAGGAACACCAGUGGCGAAGGCGACUUUCUGGACAGUAACUGACGUUGAGGCACGAAAGUGUGGGGAGCAAACAGGAUUAGAUACC
rnacentral:rRNA from 1 species